UUGCGGCCAUAUUACGUUAAAACACCGAUUCCCGUACGAUCACCAAAGUUAAGCAACGUUGAGCCUGGCCAGCACCUAGACCGGUGGCGGCUUGAAAAUACCAGAUGCUGCUG